rnacentral:rRNA from 1 species
AUUGAACGCUGGCGGCAUGCCUUACACAUGCAAGUCGAACGGCAGCACGGGUGCUUGCACCUGGUGGCGAGUGGCGAACGGGUGAGUAAUACAGCGGAACAUGUCCUGUAGUGGGGGAUAGCCCGGCGAAAGCCGGAGUAAUACCGCAUACGAUCCACGGAUGAAAGCGGGGGACCUUCGGGCCUCGCGCUAUAGGGUUGGCCGAUGGCUGAUUAGCUAGUUGGUGGGGUAAAGGCCUACCAAGGCGACGAUCAGGAGCUGGUCUGAGAGGACGACCAGCCACACUGGGACUGAGCCACGGCCCAGACUCCUACGGGAGGCCGCAGUGGGGAAUUUUGGACAAAGGGCGAAAGCCUUAUCCAGCAAUGCCGCGUGUGUGAAGAAGGCCUUCGGGUUGUAAAGCACUUUUGUCCGGAAAGAAAUCCUUGGCUCUAAUACAGUCGGGGGAUGACGGUACCGGAAGAAUAAGCACCGGCUAACUACGUG